rnacentral:rRNA from 1 species
UCUGGUCUGUAACUGACGCUUGAGGCUCGAAAAGCGUGGGGAGCGAACAGGAUUAGAUACCCCUGGUAGUCCACGCCGUAAACGAUGAAGUGCUAAGUGUUGGAGGGGUUUCCGCCCUUUCAGUGCUGCAGCAAACGCAUUAAGCACUCCGCCUGGGGAGUACGACCGCAAGGUUGAAACUCAAAGGAAUUGACGGGGGCCCGCACAAGCGGUGGAGCAUGUGGUUUAAUUCGAAGCAACGCGAAGAACCUUACCAGGUCUUGACAUCCUUUGACCACUCUAGAGAUAGAGCUUCCCCUUCGGGGGCAAAGUGACAGGUGGUGCAUGGUUGUCGUCAGCUCGUGUCGUGAGAUGUUGGGUUAAGUCCCGCAACGAGCGCAACCCUUAUUGUUAGUUGCCAUCAUUUAGUUGGGCACUCUAGCGAGACUGCCGGUGACAAACCGGAGGAAGGUGGGGAUGACGUCAAAUCAUCAUGCCCCUUAUGACCUGGGCUACACACGUGCUACAAUGGGAAGUACAACGAGUUGCGAAGUCGCGAGGCUAAGCUAAUCUCUUAAAGCUUCUCUCAGUUCGGAUUGUAGGCUGCAACUCGCCUACAUGAAGCCGGAAUCGCUAGUAAUCGCGGAUCAGCACGCCGCGGUGAAUACGUUCCCGGGCCUUGUACACACCGCCCUUACUACGGGCACGAGAGUUUGUAACACCCGAAGUCGGGUG